rnacentral:tRNA from 1 species
GCCGACGUGGCGCAAUCCGGUAGCGCUCCCGACUUGUAAUCGGGCGGUUAGGGGUUCAAGUCCCCUCGUCGGCU